GGUUAAGCGACUAAGCGUACACGGUGGAUGCCCGGCAGUCAGAGGCGAUGAAGGACGUGCUAAUCUGCGAAAAGCGCCGGCGAGGUGAUAUGAACCUUUGACCCGGCGAUGUCCGAAUGGGGAAACCCAGUGUGUUUCGACACACUAUCGUUAACUGAAUACAUAGGUUAACGAGGCGAACCGGGGGAACUGAAACAUCUAAGUACCCCGAGGAAAAGAAAUCAACCGAGAUUCCCCCCAGUAGCGGCGAGCGAACGGGGAGCAGCCCGGAGUCUGAAUCAGCUUGUGUGUUAGUGGAACGGUCUGGAAAGUCCGACGGUACAGGGUGAUAGUCCCGUACACGAAAAUGCACAGGUUGUGAACUCGAAGAGUAGGGCGGGACACGUGGUAUCCUGUCUGAAUAUGGGGGACCAUCCUCCAAGGCUAAAUACUCCUGACUGACCGAUAGUGAACCAGUACCGUGAGGGAAAGGCGAAAAGAACCCCGGCGAGGGGAGUGAAAAAGAACCUGAAACCGUGUACGUACAAGCAGUGGGAGCACCUUCGGGUGUGACUGCGUACCUUUGUAUAAUGGGUCAGCGACUUAUAUUCUGUAGCAAGGUUAACCGUAUAGGGGAGCCGAAGGGAAACCGAGUCUUAACUGGGCGUUAAGUUGCAGGGUAUAGACCCGAAACCCGGUGAUCUAGCCAUGGGCAGGUUGAAGGUUGGGUAACACUAACUGGAGGACCGAACCGACUAAUGUUGAAAAAUUAGCGGAUGACCUGUGGCUGGGGGUGAAAGGCCAAUCAAACCGGGAGAUAGCUGGUUCUCCCCGAAAGCUAUUUAGGUAGCGCCUCGUGAACUCAUCUUCGGGGGUAGAGCACUGUUUCGGCUAGGGGGCCAUCCCGGCUUACCAACCCGAUGCAAACUACGAAUACCGAAGAAUGUUAUCACGGGAGACACACGGCGGGUGCUAACGUCCGUCGUGAAGAGGGAAACAACCCAGACCGCCAGCUAAGGUCCCAAAGUCAUGGUUAAGUGGGAAACGAUGUGGGAAGGCACAGACAGCCGGGAUGUUGGCUUAGAAGCAGCCAUCAUUUAAAGAAAGCGUAAUAGCUCACUGGUCGAGUCGGCCUGCGCGGAAGAUGUAACGGGGCUAAACCAUGCACCGAAGCUGCGGCAGCGACACUUAUGUGUUGUUGGGUAGGGGAGCGUUCUGUAAGCCGUUGAAGGUGUGCUGUGAGGCAUGCUGGAGGUAUCAGAAGUGCGAAUGCUGACAUAAGUAACGAUAAAGCGGGUGAAAAGCCCGCUCGCCGGAAGACCAAGGGUUCCUGUCCAACGUUAAUCGGGGCAGGGUGAGUCGACCCCUAAGGCGAGGCCGAAAGGCGUAGUCGAUGGGAAACAGGUUAAUAUUCCUGUACUUGGUGUUACUGCGAAGGGGGGGACGGAGAAGGCUAUGUCAGCCGGGCGACGGUUGUCCCGGUUUAAGCAUGUAGGCGGAGGUUCCGAGGUAAAUCCGGUACCUUGUUAACGCUGAGGUGUGAUGACGAGGCACUACGGUGCUGAAGUGAUAAAUGCCCUGCUUCCGAGGAAAAGCCUCUAAGCAUCAGGUAACACGAAAUCGUACCCCAAACCGACACAGGUGGUCAGGUAGAGAAUACCAAGGCGCUUGAGAGAACUCGGGUGAAGGAACUAGGCAAAAUGGUGCCGUAACUUCGGGAGAAGGCACGCUGAUAUGUAGGUGAAGCCCCUGCGGGCGGAGCUGAAAUCAGUCGAAGAUACCAGCUGGCUGCAACUGUUUAUUAAAAACACAGCACUGUGCAAACACGAAAGUGGACGUAUACGGUGUGACGCCUGCCCGGUGCCGGAAGGUUAAUUGAUGGGGUUAGCGGCAACGCGAAGCUCUUGAUCGAAGCCCCGGUAAACGGCGGCCGUAACUAUAACGGUCCUAAGGUAGCGAAAUUCCUUGUCGGGUAAGUUCCGACCUGCACGAAUGGCGUAAUGAUGGCCGGGCUGUCUCCACCCGAGACUCAGUGAAAUUGAACUCGCUGUGAAGAUGCAGUGUACCCGCGGCAAGACGGAAAGACCCCGUGAACCUUUACUAUAGCUUGACACUGAACACUGGUCCUUGAUGUGUAGGAUAGGUGGGAGGCUUUGAAGUGUGGACGCCAGUCUGCAUGGAGCCGUCCUUGAAAUACCACCCUUUAAUGGCUGGUGUUCUAACGUAGACCCGUGAUCCGGGUUGCGGACAGUGUCUGGUGGGUAGUUUGACUGGGGCGGUCUCCUCCCAAAGAGUAACGGAGGAGCACGAAGGUUGGCUAAUCCUCGGUCGGACAUCAGGAGGUUAGUGCAAUGGCAUAAGCCAGCUUGACUGCGAGCGUGACGGCGCGAGCAGGUGCGAAAAGCAGGUCAUAGUGAUCCGGUGGUUCUGAAUGGAAGGGCCAUCGCUCAACGGAUAAAAAGGUACUCCGGGGAUAACAGGCUGAUACCGCCCAAGAGUUCAUAUCGACGGCGGUGUUUGGCACCUCGAUGUCGGCUCAUCACAUCCUCGGGGCUGAAGUAGGUCCCAAGGGUAUGGCUGUUCGCCAUUUAAAGUGGUACGCGAGCUGGGUUUAGAACGUCGUGAGACAGUUCGGUCCCUAUCUGCCGUGGGCGCUGGAGAAUUGAGGGGGCUGCUCCUAGUACGAGAGGACCGGAGUGGACGCAUCACUGGUGUUCGGGUUGUCAUGCCAAUGGCACUGCCCGGUAGCUAAAUGCGGAAGAGAUAAGUGCUGAAAGCAUCUAAGCACGAAACUUGCCCCGAGAUGAGUUCUCCCUGAGACCUUGAGUCUCCUGAAGGAACGUUGAAGACGACGACGUUGAUAGGUCGGGUGUGUAAGCGCAGCGAUGCGUUGAGCUAACCGAUACUAAUGAACCGUGAGGCUUAACCUU
rnacentral:rRNA from 1 species